CUUACGAGCCCCAAUGCAGAAGAGUUCGGCUACUAUUUAAAAUUGAAAGUAACUUUUUUUCAAAGUCAAAUCUAGUAAGUAAUUUUAGUAGCAUAGGAGCAAGAAAUAAAAAAAGUGUUGUAAAAUUAAUCAACUUUAUUUCCUAUAUAAUACAACAAAAAAAUAUUCAUGUAUUGUAAUAAAAAAAUACAAUUCUUCUAUCAACUACAACGCAUAAUAGUUCGGCUAUCGAUCUUGAGUACGCAAAAUAGUUCGCCUACCACUUAGUUGUCUCGCCUUACCUCUUAAGAACAGCCUUGUUCCUCAAUGGCAUCGUCGCUACCAACUCUUCGCACUCUUCUGGGGGUUAUAGACUCCCAGACAGCGACGAUUUUCUCUUUUAAAUCCUUUUUUGACCUCGAUGGAAACUUGCGUAAUUUUUUUUUCAUUUUCCACCACAAUGUUUCAAUGGGUGACAAAUCUGGACUAUUCGACGGCCACUCCAUAGUGGGGAUUCCUUUAGAUUCGAGCCAAGUCUUCGUGGUCUUCGCAGUAUGGCAAGAUCCCUAGUCCAGUUUGAGUGCUCGCGAGCGAAUUUCAGCCUCUUCUUUUUCUGUAACUCCGUUAGUAAAGGUUAUGCCUUGGCCGUGUAAAAACCAUAUCCCAUUCUUUUGAGAACCGUUUUGCAGGUAUCCACUGAAACGUCUUUCUGGAUCAUAUCACGCCAUUUUACGGUAAGUUCCCCCGCACGAGCACGGCGGUUUUGUUUGAUAAUUUUCUUUAAAACUCGGUUUUCAGCUGCACUCGUCAUACGCGGUCGACCAGACUUCUUCAAACACGAAAUUGUGCCGUGUUUCUUGCGAUGCUGGAUGAUUGACUGGACAGUAGAUCUUGGCAGUAAUAAAUCUCUGGCGAUUUGGUUGGUAGAUUUACCACUCUCACUACUGGAAAUUAUAAUUUUCCUGACUUCUUCUGUGACUGGUUUUCCGCGGCCCAUGUUGCUCUAAAUUACUUAUCAUCAU